GCGGCACGCCUAACACAUGCAAGUCGAGCGGUAGCAUGAGUUGUACCAAUNCAACUUGAUGACGAGCGGCGGACGGGUGAGGAACACGUNCGAACCUGCCCUUUAGCGGGGGACAACCAAGGGAAACUUUGGCUAAUACCGCGUAAUCUCGAGAGAGUAAAGCUGCCCGCAAGGGUGGCGCUAGAGGAGGGGCCUGCGUCCGAUUAGCUAGUUGGUGAGGUAAAGGCUCACCAAGGCGAUGAUCGGUAACUGGUCUGAGAGGACGACCAGUCACACUGGGACUGAGACACGGCCCAGACUCCUACGGGAGGCAGCAGUGGGGAAUAUUGGACAAUGGGGGCAACCCUGAUCCAGCGAUGCCGCGUGGGUGAAGAAGGCCUUCGGGUUGUAAAGCCCUUUAGGCCGGGACGAAAUGCGUGAGUUUAAGAGAUACACGUAUUGACGGUACCGGCAGAAUAAGCACCGGCAAACUCUGUGCCAGCAGCCGCGGUAAU
rnacentral:rRNA from 1 species